rnacentral:rRNA from 1 species
AUGGAAACAGCAACUUUGGUCGCCAUCUCCAUAUCUUGUUUACUUGUAAGCUUUACUGGGUAUGCCUUAUAUACCGUGUUUGGGCAACUCUCUCAACAAUUAAGAGAUCCAUUCGAAGAGCACGGAGACUAA